rnacentral:lncRNA from 1 species
CAGGUGAAAUGUUCUCUGGAAUGUUUUCUCUUCCAAGUGUUUCACACUUAACUACACAGAAUAUGUUAAAAUAAUAGGCCUUCAUGCCAUAAACCCACAAAUGUGAGAGGGAGAAAAUCCAGCUCCUCUAUGCUAUCUCACCCCUGCUGACUGCAGAGGUCUCUGAACAGUAGGGAGGCAUAAAUAAAAUUUAUCACUAGAGAAGUCUUCCAAAAGACUAGAAAGGUGAAAGAAAGUGUGUUUCUCUAGUAGAUGGUAUUUUCCAUAGGGUAGGAUGAGGCUUCCAGACCUUAAAAUAACCACAUUUAUCCCUUGUGGAGCUUGAAGCUGGAAAACAGCAAAGCAUGCAGUGGUGCACAAAUGUGCGCUGAAAUUUUUAAAAUGUUCACUGACUUCUUUCAGGAGUCAAAGAAGCCUUCCUGGUGAGCUGGAAGGGAGAGGCUGGACAGGUUUUCCCUAAGGUCAUACGGCAAUAUUUACAGCCAUGAACAUUCUUGGUGAUGGUGGUGGGACUGAACUCUAAAUCUACCAUCUGGAGCUAACUAUGGAAAAGACAGAAGGCCAAACUUCAAAGGUUAGCCACAUUUAUAAACAUAAUAAUAAAAUUGUACCUUCAACUACAAAGAGUGGAGUGAUAUGGUAUGCCCUUUUGCAUCCUUCAGCUUUGGGCUGAGAAACUUUGGAGACAUGAAUUACAAGGGAGAUGGCAUUCAUAAUUUAAAAAUGGGGGACAGAGAAAUGCAUUGACUUUGAAAUCGCAAACCAAAGUAGCUUUCACAGUUGGAAAAUAGGGUAGUUCUGGGUUGAGAACAAAGAUUCCCAAAAGAGGGUAAUAUUGCACUCCAUUCUAAGUGAAGACAUUUUGGGGGGCAC